ACAACUUUCGACAACGGAUCUCUUGGUUCUCCCAUCGAUGAAGAACGCAGCGAAACGCGAUAGGUAAUGUGAAUUGCAGAAUUCCGUGAAUCAUCGAAUCUUUGAACGCACCUUGCGCUCUAUGGUAUUCCGUAGAGCAUGCCUGUUUGAGUGCCGUG
rnacentral:rRNA from 1 species